rnacentral:rRNA from 1 species
UACGGAGAGUUUGAUCCUGGCUCAGGACGAACGCUGGCGGCGUGCUUAACACAUGCAAGUCGAACGGUGACCUCGGAGCUUGCUCCGGGCGAUCAGUGGCGAACGGGUGAGUAACACGUGAGUAACCUGCCCCAGACUCUGGGAUAACAUCGGGAAACCGGUGCUAAUACCGGAUAUGAGACGAGACUGCAUGGUCAUCGUCUGGAAAGAUUUAUCGGUCUGGGAUGGACUCGCGGCCUAUCAGCUAGUUGGUGAGGUAAUGGCUCACCAAGGCGA